GGGGCACACUUGUCUUUUUCAAAGUGAAUUUCGAGUUGAUUGAAAAUUAAUUUUAUUAACACUUGAACCGAGUAGUUUAAUAAAAUUUUGUUAAAAUAUUCCAAAUGGCUAAAGUCAAUUGUGGUAAAACUUAGUUAUUAAGUGUUCUUGGGUUAUAAUUGAAAGUUUGGUAGUGAAAUACAAGAGGUAAACAUGGUUCAAUUUGAACGAUUUGUGACACGGGAAAAUUACAUAAACUAAUAGAUUUAGAUAUUCCAUUUCAUAAAUCAUAUACAAGGUUUACUCUUUCAAAAAUCUGAUUUUUUUUAUUAAUUAAUUAAAAUUUUGAUAAUUAAACACCCAUCCACACCCCCAUUCUAACUCCCAAACCCUAAUUUGCUCUUCCUUCUAUCCCUCUCUCUCUCCACACCAGUCCCUCUUUAUUUCGACCGACAGCGAGACGCCGCUUACCAUGUGCUGCGCUUCUUGCAACGAAUGCCCGGGAAGGUGGUGCGCCAAGUGACGAGUCGUACGAAGAUGUUCCACCGCUGUUAAGUCGUCACUAUGGCUUGGGUAUUUGUCCGGCUGAAGCGAAAAUAGAUUAAGAUGAACCAUCAGCGUCGCCGACGAUGAUCCAUCUCAUACGCGGAGCUGGUACCAGAGAACAGCAACAACGCUGCAAUAGGCGCAUCGCCCGUGGCCAGAUGCGGCAUUGAUAUCGGAGAAAAAUUGUGGGUUGAUUUCGGGUUUUUAUUUGGGUGAUUUCUUCCUAUUCAAAUCUAAUAUGCUUUAGCAAGAGUUGUGUGGUUGUUUUCUUGUCAAUUGUUGGUGGUGAGGUAGUGGUGGUGGCAGCAAUUUUGAAGUUGAAAAUGAUAGUUUGUUGGAGGUGGCGACGAAGAUGAUAUAGGCGGUAGUGGUAAGUUCUCGGUGACAAAUUUGGGGAUUUUUUUAUUUUUUAUAUUUUUGUAGGGGCUGUAGUGGUGGUGGUCCUCGUGGUCGUGGUUUUUGGAUCCAAUGAUAACAUAAGGUAUGUUGGAUUUGGUGGUGGCGUGGUCGUGGCGGCAAUGGUGGCGGUCUAGCAGUGAUCGUGGUUUUGGUUGUGGUAGGGUGGAGGGUGGUGUGUGGUGGUAGUGAUGGUUUUUGGCGACAACAGUUUUGGUGAGGAUGUGGCUGGUGACAGUGAUGAGAUGGUGGUCACAAGUAUUGGCUGGUAAAAUAUGAUUUGGUUGACUGUAACUAUUAAAUUGAUUAAUUUGUGACUAAUAAAUAAUAUGUGACCAAUGAAAACAAUAAAUUGUGACUAAAAAAUAAUGUGUGACUUAAAAAUUUGUUAAUUUGUGACAAGUAAUUUGAUAAUUUAUGACUGUGUAAUUAGUUGUGAUUUAUAAUAUUUGUGAUUUGUGAUCAAUAAAUAAAUCGUG
rnacentral:lncRNA from 1 species